rnacentral:lncRNA from 1 species
AUGCAGCUUGCCAAUUUUGGCUCACUAAUGCUUGCUGAAAUGCCAUUCAACUUAAAGACUUGCAAGAGAAAGACCGAUCCUUUAAAGCAAAGUAGUUAUGUGGAAAUAAUGACCGUUGUCAUCAGCGGGCGCUCUGUGUGCAGGAACUUGGCAGAGGAAAUACCCUUCAGUUCCCAGCUCCAUGAGUGGGGAAGGCAGAAGAAGGUGUACUCAGUGAACUGGGCUAUAGAGAAGCUAAUGAACCCCGUCUCUGCACCAUCAGUGGGACAGAACUCUGUUGGGAAAGGAAGAAGCAGUCAUUUGGUAAACAAAGACGGGAGGAAACCUUGA